GCGCAAGGAAGGUGGCUAACAGGGCAAUCCUGAAACGUUUGGUUAAUGAAUCCAAGCAAUCACGCAAUGGUGAAAUGAGUUCUAGAUCACCUGUUUCCUACACUCCAUCAAGGUAUGUAUCUUCAUUGUCACCUUUUGGUUCCAAGAAUCAUAGCAGAUCAGAUUCAUUAGGUGCUAGAAAUGUGUCGAACAAUGUUGGUUUUGGUGUUGGGUCACCAAUUCGAUCCAUUUCUGUCGAGGCAUUGAAAUCAAGCGAUACUUUUCCUCGCCGCCAUAACUCUGCAACCCCUGAAGAGCAGACCAAGAUGGCUGAGUCAUGUGGGUUUGAUAGCCUCGACGCUCUUAUUGACGCAACCGUGCCUAAAGCUAUACGUAUUGAUUCCAUGAAGUUUCCCAAGUUUGAUGGAGGAUUAACUGAGAGCCAAAUGAUUGAACACAUGAAAGAUUUGGAAUCAAAGAACAAGAUUUUUAAGUCUUUUAUUGGAAUGGGUUAUUAUAACACUCACGUUCCUCCCGUGAUUUUGAGGAAUAUAAUGGAGAAUCCAGCUUGGUACACUCAAUACACUCCGUACCAGGCCGAGAUAUCUCAAGGACGCCUUGAGUCUUUGCUUAAUUUCCAAACUAUGAUUACGGAUCUUACUGGAUUGCCUAUGUCAAAUGCUUCGUUGCUUGAUGAGGGAACUGCAGCUGCUGAGGCAAUGGCCAUGUGUAACAACAUAGUGAAAGGAAAGAAGAAGACUUUUAUUAUUGCAAACAAUUGUCAUCCUCAGACAAUUGAUAUUUGUAAGACAAGAGCUGAUGGUUUUGAUCUUAAAGUUGUUACUGCAGAUCUUAAGGAUAUUGAUUACAGCUCUGGUGAUGUUUGUGGGGUUUUGGUUCAGUAUCCGGGUACCGAGGGUGAGAUUUUGGACUAUGGGGAGUUCGUUAAGAACGCUCAUGCACAGGGUGUUAAGGUUGUCAUGGCAACUGAUUUGUUAGCAUUGAUAAUGUUGAAGCCCCCAGGUGAACUUGGAGCAGAUAUAGUUGUUGGCUCAGCACAGAGGUUCGGGGUGCCGAUGGGGUACGGUGGCCCUCACGCUGCUUUUUUGGCUACUUCCCAAGAGUACAAGAGGAUGAUGCCAGGGCGAAUUAUUGGUGUUAGUGUCGAUUCUUCAGGGAAGCCUGCUUUGCGUAUGGCGAUGCAAACGAGGGAGCAACAUAUUCGCAGGGACA
rnacentral:lncRNA from 1 species